GAUGAACGCUGGCGGCGUGCCUAAUACAUGCAAGUCGAGCGAACAGACGAGGAGCUUGCUCCUCUGACGUUAGCGGCGGACGGGUGAGUAACACGUGGAUAACCUACCUAUAAGACUGGGAUAACUUCGGGAAACCGGAGCUAAUACCGGAUAAUAUAUUGAACCGCAUGGUUCAAUAGUGAAAGACGGUUUUGCUGUCACUUAUAGAUGGAUCCGCGCCGCAUUAGCUAGUUGGUAAGGUAACGGCUUACCAAGGCAACGAUGCGUAGCCGACCUGAGAGGAUGAUCGGCCACACUGGAACUGAGACACGGUCCAGACUCCUACGGGAGGCAGCAGUAGGGAAUCUUCCGCAAAGGGCGAAAGCCUGACGGAGCAACGCCGCGUGAGUGAUGAAGGUCUUCGGAUCGUAAAACUCUGUUAUUAGGAAAGAACAAAUGUGUAAGUAACUAUGCACGUCUUGACGGUACCUAAUCAGAAAGCCACGGCUAACUACGUG
rnacentral:rRNA from 1 species